UAAUAUUCACUAAUGAACCAUCAACACUUUUCUUGUUAAAACGUUAGAGGUGGAUAUUUUUGUAUACUCAGAGAAGUGCACCAGAGCUUGCAACUCCUAAAAUAUGCCCCUUGGGAGGAUUUUGAGCUAAAGGCAACUGAGAACCAGGGAAGGUGAAAAAAAAAGGCUUCACCUCCCCUGCCAGAAAAGAGAGUAUUAAUUUCCCCUUUAGUAAAAGAAAUUUACAUUUAUAAGGGACAUUUCCAACUUUAAUGGUGGUACCAGGAAGAGGGCUACUCCCAGAGAUAACUUUUAUCACCUGAGAGACUCUUUAUCUACAUAACAAGACAACCCUUAUUUACUGCCCACUUCUUCCUCUCAUUCCCAUAACUUGCCUCCCCCACUCAGAAGCCCAAAUCCUUUUUUCCUUUUGUUUAGCCUAAAAUAGUACAUAAAAUAAAAUAAAAAUAAAAUAGUAUAUAAACCUCUAUCAUCUGGUCUCCUAGGAUCUCAUUUUUUUUUUUUAAGUCUAUUUUUGGCUUUUUUUUUUUUUUAGGACCUCACCCUCAGCAUAUGGAAGUUCCCCGGCUAGGGGGUGAAUCUGGGCCAUAGCUCUGAGCCGUGUCUGCAACCUACACCACCAAACAUGGAAAAAAGCUCAGGGCAAUGCCAGAUCCUUAAGCCACUGAGCGAGGCCAGGGAUAGAACCAGCCUCCUCAUGGAUACUAGUUAGGUUCUUUACUCCUGAGCCAAAACGGCAACUCCUAGGGUCUCAUUUCUUCAUAGAAUUUCUAUGCAUACUUAGGUAAUGAAAACCGACCAGGUGUUUUUUUUUUUUUUUUGGUUGUUAAUUUGUCUUUUCUCACUUUAAUUUCCAGGGCCCCAACAGGAGAAUCUUGCAGGGGAGAGGGAAACAUUUUUUUCUUUUCCUGAAUUAGAAUCAGCAGCUUUCCAGGUCCUCCCUGUCCGUCUCCACCUGCCUUCUGACCUGGGAGGCUGACCUGAGCGGCCUGAAUCAGCUCUUGGCUGAUGGGGCUCCAGGAAGGGGCAAGGAAUGUGAGGUGAGGGUCUUUGCUUGUGGCUUCCCUACUGGGUCUCUUUUUUUUUUUUUUUUUUUUUUUUGUCUUUUUUUGUCUUUUUGUUGUUGUUGUUGCCAUUUCUUGGGCCGCUCCCGCGGCAUAUGGAGGUUCCCAGGCUAGGGGUCCAAUCGGAGCUGUAGCCA
rnacentral:lncRNA from 1 species